ACAGAGGGGGCAAGCGUUGUUCGGAAUUACUGGGCGUAAAGGGCGCGUAGGCGGCCUGUUAAGUCGAACGUGAAAUCUCCAGAGCUCAACUCGGAAACUGCACCGCAGACUGUCAGGCUUGAGGAAUGCAGAGGUAACUGGAAUUCCUGGUGUAGCGGUGAAAUGCGUUGAUAUCAGGAGGAACACCCAUGGCGAAGGCAGGUUACUGGGCAUUAUCUGACGCUGAGGCGCGAAAGCGUGGGGAGCAAACAGGA
rnacentral:rRNA from 1 species